AAUAUAAAACUAAGCUUUCCAAACACGCUAUAACUUUCAUGCAAUUUUAAUAAUAACGUAAAAAAUCGAGCCAAAAUCAAACACUUC
rnacentral:rRNA from 1 species